AGCGAACGCUGGCGGCAGGCCUAACACAUGCAAGUCGAGCGCCCGUAGCAAUACGGGAGCGGCAGACGGGAGAGUAACACGUGGGAACGUACCCUUCAGUUCGGAACAACCCAGGGAAACUUGGGCUAAUACCGAAUACGUCCGUAAGGAGAAAGAUUUAUCGCUGAGGGAUCGGCCCGCGUCUGAUUAGCUAGUUGGUGAGGUAACGGCUCACCAAGGCGACGAUCAGUAGCNGGUCUGAGAGGAUGAUCAGCCUCACUGGGACUGAGACACGGCCCAGACUCCACGGGAGGCAGCAGUGGGAAUAUUGGACAAUGGGCGCAAGCCUGAUCCAGCCAUGCCGCGUGGAUGAUGAAGGCCCUAGGGUUGUAAAGUCCUUUCGACGGGGGAAGAUAAUGACGGUACCCGUAGAAGAAGCCCCGGCUAACUUCGUGACAGCCGCCGCCGUAAC
rnacentral:rRNA from 1 species